rnacentral:lncRNA from 1 species
GCCAGGCCUGCCUGGCGUUGGGAUAUAGGGGGCCCCUCCUAGAUCGUUCAAACUGGGAGUUGUUGGGAAGCUAAGAGGACCGCCUGCCUGCGCCUAGGCUGGGAGAGCUGUCUGGAGGGGGCGCCUUUCUGGAUGUGAUUGGAGGUGUUGGGAGUCGGCCUGGCUGCUGAGGAAGAAAAGACAACAAAAAGAUUUCACGCGCAACUUGACCCAGACAAAGGGACCUCAUGCCCAAUCUCCUUUUGAAAGGUGACAACUGACAAAAAAGGAAAACUUUAUCUUCAGCCUACUUGAGCAGUACAUCUGGAAACCCUCUUUAAGAAGAAGGUGUAACGGAAGUCAUUUACCAACC